rnacentral:rRNA from 1 species
UGGAAAUGACGAGUUUGAUCCUUGCUCAGGGUGAACGCUGGCGG